AAACAAAACUAAGGAUCGCCUUAAACUAAAAGAAAAAAAGAUCAACGGAACGGGUGAGAUCUCCUCUCUGGCUGCAUUCCUGAAUGUCCCUCGUCCGCCGCCGCCUCCUCUCCACCGCGGCGGCAGUCGCCGCUGCCCGCGGCCCACCGCCGGUCCGCGUAGCCUUGACGGACUCCGCCGGCCGCGGAGUCUUCGCUACUCGCCCCAUCGCCACUGGCGAGGUCCUCCACUCGGCGCAGCCUCUCGUCACCCACCCUUCCCGCUCUCUCUUCCACGAGGUGUGCUACCGCUGCCUCAAGAGGAAAGCGGGGAAGGGCGACGACUCCAGAGGGGACUGCUACUUCUGCAGCGACGCGUGCCGGGAGCAUGCCGAGGGAUUCCAUGGCAUUCAGAAGAAGGUGGAUUGGUCUUUGUUAGAUGACCACUGUAGUUCACGUGGUCUGAAGUACCCAUACAUGGUCAGGCGGCUAGCUUGCAUGGUUAUAUCAGGAGAUGUUGGUGCAGAUUGUCUUGACAUUCUUCAGCCAGCCCAAUUGCACCAGGGUACACUUAUUGAGAUGGAAGAGGAGUUCGAAUUGUUGAAGUCCACUUUUAGGAAGGCAGGCUUUCAGGAAGAACUCACAACUUUAUUAGUUUUGACCAAACAAUGGUACAUCAAUAUACUUGCAAGAAUACGUGUAAAUGCAUUCCGUAUUGAAUUGGUUGCAAGUUCAUAUGAGGAUCUUCUAUCCUCAGCAGUAGCCUCGGUAACAUGCGAUGCAUCAGUUGGCAAUGCUGUAUAUAUGCUCCCCUCGUUCUACAACCAUGACUGUGAUCCGAAUACUCACAUAGUUUGGCUGGAAAACGCAGACGCUAAAUUGAAGACCCUUCGUGAUAUUGACGAAGGUGAAGAGCUGCGCAUCUGCUACAUUGAUACAAGCAUGGAUGUGAACGCCAGGCAGAAGAUUCUCACUGAAGGAUUUGGUUUCCAGUGCCGUUGCCAACGGUGCUUAUCUGGGGAUUAAAAUUCAUCGUUUGCCUUAAUGGCCGCUUCCCUCGACGUUAGACGCGAACAGUGAACACAGGAUAACUAAUGACAGGGGCGUAUCUAGGGCACAUUUUUAACUUUGUAGGGCAUCCUCCGCCCAAACAACACACAAUCACUUGGUGCUCUUGGAGCGUGCCGAGAUGUCUGAAUAAUAAAAAUGUAGCAAGUUCCAAAAAGCUCAGGAUGUCUGAUACUUACCAGCAGUUGAUCAACUGAGCAUAAUGUGCAACAAGGCACUCAUAGAAACAUCAGGACAGUGCAGCAAUCUACUACUUUGCUUGAAGGAUUUCCAAACUCCCAAAAGAAAUUCUCAAGUACUUAUUAUUUGUUUUUGGUGCUAACAUGAUUCUCUUCAUGACUGCGUCACCACUCACCAACUUAUUUUGUUUCACUGCUUACAUGAAUCAGAAAUAAUUUGCGAGGAUCAACAGCCAGGCUUGUCCCAAUUGGAUGCUCAGUUCAGGAUGCCAGAAGCUUUGUAGGAUUCGACACUGUCUCCGAGGGUCUUCUCUACAGGCCUGAAGGUCCACCCUAGCUUCUGAAGUUUCUCUGAACUAUAAAUAAGAUUGUCUUCCACUUCCGUAAUGCUACAUAGAAAUUUGGAGAGAAAAAUAAGUUUCAUCCGAGUUAAGCAUGGAAAAGCAGGGGUGAAGGACACACAUUGAGCAGCAUUUGGUGAUAUGGUGAAGCAACCUUGGUUCAUUAAAUUUUACAGUCCAUGUCACAAACUACAUGCUCACUGGUAUGGAAUUCUAGGAAUGUGAAUAUCUACUAGGAUUUAUUCAAUUUGUCAGUCCCCAUUCAAGUACUUCCAAGCGAUGUAGGAACAUGCUUAUCCCAGGAAAGACAAAUGUGCGCUCAAUUCUAGUAUAUUUUCAAAGUGAAAUGAAGGUUAUUCAUCCUUGCAUUUUAGGCAAUGGUAACUUGCUCAUGAUAUGCAGAACUAAAAUAGCUAUAACACAGGUGAAUUACAUAUGUACCGUCCGGACAUCUCUGGAUUCUCAUAUGCCAGAAGAAUAGCAUCGGCAACAUCACGAACAUCCACUAUAUCCCUGCUUUUAUUUUCUACAGUAUCAUGUUCUCCUGCAAAAUGAUAAGUAUUUUAGUGUUACAGAAACAGAACUAUAACCCUAAACUAGUUUGGUGAACAGCCUUCGUUUCAAUGAUAUGCAGGUUUUUUUUUUGCGAUUAAA